rnacentral:ncRNA from 1 species
CUGAUGAGUGUGUCAUGGGUGGACGAUACCAAAACGGCCCGCUCUGAAAAGACAAUUGCUCUUUACAGGGGACACAUAAGUAUCAG